UACUCCAGAGGGUGUCAUUCACUAAGAUAAAACAUGAUUGUCACCUUUUUGAGUAGA
rnacentral:pre_miRNA from 1 species